rnacentral:rRNA from 1 species
AUUGAACGCUGGCGGCAGGCCUAACACAUGCAAGUCGAGCGGAGGUAGCAACACCUUAGCGGCGGACGGGUGAGGAAUGCAUCGGAACGUGCCGAGUAGUGGGGGAUAACGCAGGGAAACUUGCGCUAAUACCGCAUACGCCCCGAGGGGGAAAGUGGGGGACCGCAAGGCCUCACGCUAUUUGAGCGGCCGAUGCCCGAUUAGCUAGUUGGUGAGGUAAUGGCUCACCAAGGCGACGAUCGGUAGCUGGUCUGAGAGGAUGAUCAGCCACACUGGAACUGAGACACGGUCCAGACUCCUACGGGAGGCAGCAGUGGGGAAUCUUGCGCAAUGGGCGAAAGCCUGACGCAGCCAUGCCGCGUGAAUGAUGAAGGUCUUAGGAUUGUAAAAUUCUUUCACCGGGGACGAUAAUGACGGUACCCGGAGAAGAAGCCCGGCUAACUUCGUGCCAGCAGCCGCGGUAAU